rnacentral:rRNA from 1 species
AGCGAACGCUGGCGGCAGGCCUAACACAUGCAAGUCGAGCGGCCGUAGCAAUACGGCAGCGGCAGACGGGAGAGUAACACGUGGGAACGUGCCCUUCAGUUCGGAACAACCCAGGGAAACUUGGGCUAAUACCGGAUACGCCCUUACGGGGAAAGAUUUAUCGCUGAAGGAUCGGCCCGCGUCUGAUUAGCUAGUUGGUGGGGUAAUGGCCCACCAAGGCGACGAUCAGUAGCUGGUCUGAGAGGAUGAUCAGCCUCACUGGGACUGAGACACGGCCCAGACUCCUACGGGAGGCAGCAGUGGGGAAUAUUGGACAAUGGGCGCAAGCCUGAUCCAGCCAUGCCGCGUGGAUGAUGAAGGCCCUAGGGUUGUAAAGUCCUUUCGGCGGGGAAGAUAAUGACGGUACCCGCAGAAGAAGCCCCGGCUAACUUCGUGCCAGCCGCCGCCGUAACAC